AUUGAACGCUGGCGGCAUGCUUUACACAUGCAAGUCGAACGGUAACAGGCCGCAAGGUGCUGACGAGUGGCGAACGGGUGAGUAAUGCAUCGGAACGUGCCCAGUCGUGGGGGAUAACGCAGCGAAAGCUGUGCUAAUACCGCAUACGAUCUAUGGAUGAAAGCGGGGGACCGUAAGGCCUCGCGCGAUUGGAGCGGCCGAUGUCAGAUUAGGUAGUUGGUGGGGUAAAGGCCUACCAAGCCGACGAUCUGUAGCUGGUCUGAGAGGACGACCAGCCACACUGGGACUGAGACACGGUCCAGACGCCUACGGGAGGCAGCAGUGGGGAAUUUUGGACAAUGGGCGCAAGCCUGAUCCAGCAAUGCCGCGUGCAGGAAGAAGGCCUUCGGGUUGUAAACUGCUUUUGUACGGAACGAAACGGUCUGGGUUAAUACCCUGGGCUAAUGACGGUACCUGAAGAAUAAGCACCGGCUAACUACGUGCCAGCCGCCGCCGUAACAC
rnacentral:rRNA from 1 species